CGACCGGCGCACGGGUGAGUAACGCGUAUGCAACCUGCCUGAUACCGGGGUAUAGCCCAUGGAAACGUGGAUUAACACCCCAUAGUACUUUUAUCCUGCAUGGGAUGUGAGUUAAAUGUUCAAGGUAUCGGAUGGGCAUGCGUCCUAUUAGUUAGUUGCGGGUAACAGCCCACCAAGACGAUGAUAGGUAGGGGUUCUGAGAGGAAGGUCCCCCACAUUGGAACUGAGACACGGUCCAA
rnacentral:rRNA from 1 species